UACGGAGGAUGCGAGCGUUAUCCGGAUUUAUUGGGUUUAAAGGGUGCGUAGGCGGCCUUUUAAGUCAGCGGUGAAAGUCUGUGGCUCAACCAUAGAAUUGCCGUUGAAACUGGAAGACUUGAGUGUGUUUGAGGUAGGCGGAAUGCGUGGUGUAGCGGUGAAAUGCAUAGAUAUCACGCAGAACUCCGAUUGCGAAGGCAGCUCACUGGACUGCAACUGACACUGAGGCUCGAAAGUGUGGGUAUCAAACAGG
rnacentral:rRNA from 1 species